rnacentral:rRNA from 1 species
ACGUAGGUGGCGAGCGUUGUCCGGAAUCACUGGGCGUAAAGGGCGCGUAGGCGGUUUUGCAAGUCGCAUGUGAAAGACCAGGGCUUAACCUUGGGAGGUCAUGCGAAACUGCAGGACUUGAGUGCAGUAGAGGUAAGCGGAAUUCCUGGUGUGGCGGUAAAAGGCGUAGAGAUCAGGAGGACCAGCUGGGGCGAAGGCGACAUACUGGACUAGCAAGGAUGCUGAGCCGGGAAAGGGUGGGGACCAAAAAG